UGCAUCAAAUGGGCUUGUUGC
rnacentral:piRNA from 1 species